GUUACAGAGUUAAAUGAAAUCAGCUGGGCAAUGGUGGCACAUUCCCUUAAUCCCAGCACUUGGGAGGCAGAGGCAAGCAUAUCUCUGAGUUCAAGGCCACCCUAGUCUAUAGAGUAAAUUUCUAGAUAGCCAGGGCUACGCGGAGAAAUCUUGCCUUGAAAAAACCGAAAAACAAAAAUAUCAAAACACCAAUGGGCAGUUGGUAAUUGUCUAUAACACCAUGGUAACUUUUAAGAGCCAAGACUGUUGAAAUGGUCUCUAAAGAAAAUAAGCUCCAGAUAAGACUGUAUUUAAUUCCCUCAUAUUAAUAUCUAAGGACCCAAGGUCCCAGCAUCUUUGGUUGUGAGCCUAGCCUUUAAUGGCUGAGCCAUCUCUCCAGCCCAGGUCCCAGCAUCUUUAUACAGAAAUCAUAAAGGGCUCAGUUAUUUCUAACUGUAACUAAUUCUGAUAGAAGCUUCACAGAAGAAAGAUUCUUUUGUGUUCUGUUUCAGAAGGUUCUGCUCAAGGUGAUUUGGCAACAGAGCCUGUGGCAGAGGAAUCUUCACACAAAGAAAACAGAAAGAAUCCAAGAGCCUGGGGCAAGCCACCAAGGAUAGAACCCCCAGUGACCUAUUUAUUAUAAAUAAGUCUUAUCUCUUUUUUUUGUUCUUUUUUUUUUUUUUUUUUUUUCAGAGCUGGGGACCGAACCCAGGGCCUUGCGCUUCAUAGGGCUGGAGAGACGGCUCAGCAUUUAAGAGCAUUGUGUGCUCUUCCAGAGGUCCUGAGUUCAAGUCCCAGAAACUACAUGGCAACAUGGCUGCAUACCAGUUGGAGGAAGAAACAAGCAGAAUACAAAAGCAUAGUAAAAGCCUAGACAAAUCAUAUACAUAUAUGAUAUAUAAAGGACUUUUGAAAACAAAAAUAUGAAAGAAGUUAUAGCAAAAUUAAAUAUCUCCAUCAAAGUGGUAAAAAACUAA